AGAACGAACGCUGGCGGCAGGCCUAACACAUGCAAGUUGAGCGCCCCGCAAGGGGAGCAGCGCACGGGUGCGUAACGCGUGGGAAUGUACACUUGGGUGCGGAACAACGUCGGGAAACUGACGCUAAUACCGCAUAAUAUCUACGGAUCAAAGAUUUAUCGCCCAGGAAUCAGCCCGCGUUAGAUUAGCUAGUUGGUGAGGUAAUGGCUCACCAAGGCUACGAUCUAUAGCUGGUCUGAGAGGAUGAUCAGCCACACUGGAACUGAGACACGGUCCAGACUCCUACGGGAGGCAGCAGUGAGGAAUAUUGGACAAUGGGGGAAACCCUGAUCCAGCCAUGCCGCGUGAGUGAUGAAGGCCUUCGGGUUGUAAACUCUUUUAGAUGUGAAGAUGAUGACGGUAGCAUCAGAAAAGCUACCGGCUAACUUCGCGCCAGCAGCCGCGGUAAC
rnacentral:rRNA from 1 species